UACAGAGGUCUCAACCGUUGUUCGGAUUCAUUGGGCGUAAAGGGUGCGUAGGCGGUCGCGCAAGUCGGAUGUGAAAUCUCAGGGCUCAACCCUGAAACUGCAUUCGAUAAUGCGUGGCUAGAGUGCUGGAGAGGAGACUGGAAUUUACGGUGUAGCAGUGAAAUGCGUAGAUAUCGUAAGGAAGACCAGUGGCGAAGGCGAGUCUCUGGACAGCAACUGACGCUGAGGCACGAAGGCCAGGGGAGCAAACGGG
rnacentral:rRNA from 1 species